rnacentral:rRNA from 1 species
UCGGGAAACCGGAGCUAAUACCGGAUAAUAUUUUGAACCGCAUGGUUCAAAAGUGAAAGACGGCUUGCUGUCACUUAUAGAUGGAUCGCGCUGCAUUAGCUAGUUGGUAAGGUAACGGCUUACCAAGGCAACGAUGCAUAGCCGACCUGAGAGGGUGAUCGGCCACACUGGAACUGAGACACGGUCCAG